AUGACUAAUUUCGAGAGAUCAAAGUUUAUAGACUAUUCUUUCCUAGACUUUCAGGGAACAACCAAUGUGACAGAAACGGUUAGAUUUCAGGGAACUACCGUGUUAACAAGACUUUCAGGGAACUACCAUAGUUUAUACACUGGACUUCCGGAAUCGGGUGUAACAAGAGAAAUACCAUCUUCUAGAGCUUCAGCACUGUAG